rnacentral:rRNA from 1 species
UACGUAGGGUGCAAGCGUUGUCCGGAAUUAUUGGGCGUAAAGAGCUCGUAGGCGGUCUGUCGCGUCGGAUGUGAAAACCCGGGGCUUAACCCCGGGCCUGCAUUCGAUACGGGCAGACUCGAGUGUGGUAGGGGAGACUGGAACUCCUGGUGUAGCGGUGAAAUGCGCAGAUAUCAGGAGGAACACCGGUGGCGAAGGCGGGUCUCUGGGCCGUAACUGACGCUGAGGAGCGAAAGCAUGGGGAGCGAACAGG